GCGAAAACUUUACAAUGCUGGCAACAGCGAUAAGGGAACCUCGAGUGCCAGGUUACAAAACUGGCUGUCGAGAUGCCUAAAAAGCAUUUCAUAGCAAGGGCCGGGCAAGACCGGUGCCAGCCGCCGCGGUAACACCGGCGGCUCGAGUGGUAACCGUUAUUAUUGGGUCUAAAGGGUCUGUAGCCGGCCGGAUAAGUCUCUUGAGAAAUCUGGCAGCUUAACUGUCAGGCUUUCAGGAGAUACUGUCUGGCUCGAGGCCGGGAGAGGUGAGAGGUACUUCAGGGGUAGGGGUGAAAUCUUGUAAUCCUUGAAGGACAACCAGUGGCGAAGGCGUCUCACCAGAACGGACCUGACGGAAAGGGACGAAAGCUAGGGGCACGAACC
rnacentral:rRNA from 1 species